rnacentral:rRNA from 1 species
AGUAGGGUGCCAUCAAGAGGUGUAUUUGGAAAUAUCCCUAAUACAGGAUCACU